UACGGGGGGGGCAAGCGUUGUUCGGAAUUACUGGGCGUAAAGGGCUCGUAGGCGGCCAACUAAGUCAGACGUGAAAUCCCCAGGCUUAACCUGGGAACUGCGUCUGAUACUGGAUGGCUUGAAUCCGGGAGAGGGAUGCAGAAUUCCAGGUGUAGCGGUGAAAUGCGUAGAUAUCUGGAGGAAUACCGGUGGCGAAGGCGGCAUCCUGGACCGGCAUUGACGCUGAGGAGCGAAAGCCAGGGGAGCAAACGG
rnacentral:rRNA from 1 species